AAAGUAGCAUAUAUAAGCUUUUUU
rnacentral:snRNA from 1 species